GCUUUCCUGUGGCUUGGUUGGUAAAGCAUUGGGCUAACAACGCAAAGCUCGUGGGUUCAAAUCCAAGGAAAAGCA